GACGAACGCUGGCGGCGUGCUUAACACAUGCAAGUCGAACGAAGAGCGAUGGAAGCUUGCUUCUAUCAAUCUUAGUGGCGAACGGGUGAGUAACGCGUAAUCAACCUGCCCUUCAGAGGGGGACAACAGUUGGAAACGACUGCUAAUACCGCAUACGAUCUAACCUUGGCAUCGAGGAUGGAUGAAAGGUGGCCUCUAUUUAUAAGCUAUCACUGAAGGAGGGGAUUGCGUCUGAUUAGCUAGUUGGAGGGGUAACGGCCCACCAAGGCGAUGAUCAGUAGCCGGUCUGAGAGGAUGAACGGCCACAUUGGGACUGAGACACGGCCCAGACUCCUACGGGAGGCAGCAGUGGGGAAUCUUCCGCAAUGGACGAAAGUCUGACGGAGCAACGCCGCGUGAGUGAUGACGGCCUUCGGGUUGUAAAGCUCUGUUAAUCGGGACGAAAGGCCUUCUUGCGA
rnacentral:rRNA from 1 species